GCCGGGCAUGGUGGAGCAUGCCUGUAAUCCCGGAGGCUGAGGCAGGAGGAUUGUGAGUUCAAAGCCAGCCUCAGCAAUGGCAAGGUGCUAGGCAACUCAAUGAGACCCUGGCUCUA
rnacentral:sRNA from 1 species